UACGGAGGGGGGCUAGCGUUGUUCGGAAUUACUGGGCGUAAAGCGCACGUAGGCGGCUUUGUAAGUUAGAGGUGAAAGCCCAGGGCUUAACCCCUGGAAUUGCCUUUAAGACUGCAUCGCUAGAAUUGUGGAGAGGUAAGUGGAAUUCCGAGUGUAGAGGUGAAAUUCGUAGAUAUUCGGAAGAACACCAGUGGCGAAGGCGACUUACUGGACACAUAUUGACGCUGAGGUGCGAAAGCGUGGGGAGCAAACAGG
rnacentral:rRNA from 1 species